UACGAAGGGGGGCUAGCGUUGCUCGGAAUCACUGGGCGUAAAGCGCACGUAGGCGGCUUAUUAAGUCAGGGGUGAAAUCCUGGAGCUUAACUCCAGAACUGCCUUUGAUACUGAUGAGCUUGAGUCCGGGAGAGGUGAGUGGAACUGCGAGUGUAGAGGUGAAAUUCGUAGAUAUUCGCAAGAACACCAGUGGCGAAGGCGGCUCACUGGCCCGGUACUGACGCUGAGGUGCGAAAGCGUGGGGAGCAAACAGG
rnacentral:rRNA from 1 species